rnacentral:rRNA from 1 species
UACGUAGGGUGCAAGCGUUGUCCGGAAUUAUUGGGCGUAAAGAGCUCGUAGGCGGUCUGUCGCGUCGAAUGUGAAAACCCGGGGCUCAACCCCGGGCCUGCAUUCGAUACGGGCAGACUAGAGUUCGGUAGGGGAGUCUGGAAUUCCUGGUGUAGCGGUGGAAUGCGUAGAGAUCCGGAAGAACACCUGAGGCGAAGGCGGCUUGCUGGGCCUGGUCUGACGCUGAGGCGCGAAAGCGUGGGGAGCAAACAGG